GACCUCAAAUCGGGUGGGACUACCCGCUGAACUUAAGCAUAUCAAUAAGCGGAGGAAAAGAAACUAACAAGGAUUCCCCUAGUAACGGCGAGUGAAGAGGGAAAAGCUCAAAUUUUGAAUCUGGUGUCUUUGACUCCCGAGUUGUAAUCUAGAGAAGUGUUUUCCGUGUCGGACCGUGCACAAGUUCCCUGGAACGGGGCGUCAUAGAGGGUGAGAAUCCCGUAUAUGGCAUGGACUACCGAUGCUUUUGUGAUACACUCUCAACGAGUCGAGUUGUUUGGGAAUGCAGCUCAAAAUGGGUGGUAAAUUCCAUCUAAAGCUAAAUAUUGGCGAGAGACCGAUAGCGAACAAGUACCGUGAGGGAAAGAUGAAAAGCACUUUGGAAAGAGAGUGAAACAGUACGUGAAAUUGUUGAAAGGGAAGCGUUUGAAGUCAG
rnacentral:rRNA from 1 species